GAAAUACGAUACGUAGUGUGAAUUGCAGAAUUCAGUGAAUCAUCGAAUCUUUGAACGCACAUUGCGCCCUUUGGUAUUCCAAAGGGCAUGCCUGUUCGAGCGUCAUUUGUACCCUCAAGCUUUGCUUGGUGUUGGGCGUUUUUUGUCUUUGGCUCGCCCAAAGACUCGCCUUAAAACGAUUGGCAGCCGGCCUACUGGUUUCGCAGCGCAGCACAUUUUUGCGCUUGCAAUCAGCAAAAGAGGACGGCAAUCCAUCAAGACUCCUUCUCACGUUUGACCUCGGAUCAGGUAGGGAUACCCGCUGAACUUAAGC
rnacentral:misc_RNA from 1 species